UAUUUGUUACUCACCACAUGCAGUAAAAUCUAUUUGUACUUCCAUGUGAAACCUAAUAAAUCAUAAGUACCUACUUUGAAUUGUUCAACGCAAAGGCAUACGACACAAAAUUUGGAAGUUCAGUGAAUGUUUGAGAAGGCGGAACAAAAUCAUACGUCUACCGAAUUCGUGCAACCCUUACAAAUACGCAAUGCUGCAUUACAUCAAUUGGCAACUCCUUCAGUUAUGACAAAGUUGGUUAAAUUGUACUUCAGUACAUAGGCAUCGGUCUGGUCGGAAAAAUACUCUGCUUCGACUCCUUCAUUUUCAAAGUCUAAAUUUUCGUAAAACUGUACUGCAAGCUCAUUGGUAAGUCUGAUGUAUACGGUUACCGUAUUCACUUUGUGUGAUGAUUUUUUCCCAAUCGACCCAAAAUUUCAGGACCAUCAGAGAAAAAGCCCUAUAUUCGGGAUGGUCAAACAGUUAGCUGUCAGAACUGAGGUUUUAAUACAUUAUCGUGUAACUUGGCGUAACUAAACCGGAGUUACUGUACAUAUUAUACCUAUAUUACGUAAACGUAUUUAAUUUUUAUCACCACCUCGGCCCUCACUGUGCUAUUUUACAAAAAUCACGUCUAUCAUUUUCGCUGGGAAUAGUAUUAAAUAGACAGUUCAUGUGAACCCAUCUGUGGAAGAGUACACAAAACAAUCUUGUUCGUUCUCGGCAUGCCAUACACAAUACCUAGGUACUUCCAAAUUGGCUAAAGAUGAAUGCCUCACGAUAUGGUUCCUUAAAACUUGUCG